rnacentral:lncRNA from 1 species
AUUUGCCUCCAUAACCUUGUCUUCUCCAAACAACAUAGGCUUAAGCUCUUCACCAUCUCAUAACUAAGAGUCUCCAUACCUUUUGAUCAUCUGUUUUCCUGAUCUCCAGAAUGUGUGCAUCUCUACAUUGACAGAGUAUUCCAAACUGGAUGAAUGGUGGAAGUCUGGCAAGCUGCUAUUUCAAGUUGACAAGGACAGACGCAAAGGAUAAGAGAAAGCAAAGCAAGGACCAGGAAGGUCUUUUUCCAAGCAGGGAGAGCUUGCCUGCAGAUUUCUUACAGGUACAGUACAGGCCACAGCAGGCCAUCCGUGCAACAGAUUGUUUUCUUUACAGUAUGCCACCUCUUGCUGGAAUAACCCACUCCUGGUGUAAAAAACCCAUCACAUUGCCUGGAAAUGCUAGUGCACUCAGAGCUAAUAUGUGAUAAAGAGCAGCUCAUCUCCCUCCUGCAAAGUGGAGAAUGAACAGGAA